rnacentral:misc_RNA from 1 species
CAUUGCUGGACGCGCCCUACGGCGUACCCAGAAACCCUUUGUGAACUUAUAACCCACAUCGUUGCCUCGGCAAGGCUGAGAGACGCCACGUCUCUCCCACGCGGACCGUCAAAACGUCCGGGCGGAGCAGGUCUGCCGGCGGCCCUCUAAACUCUUGUUUUCAAUAGUACUACUUCUGAGUAACAAAACAAAAAAUGAAUCAAAACUUUCAACAACGGAUCUCUUGGUUCUGGCAUCGAUGAAGAACGCAGCGAAAUGCGAUAAGUAAUGUGAAUUGCAGAAUUCAGUGAAUCAUCGAAUCUUUGAACGCACAUUGCGCCCGCUGGAAUUCCAGCGGGCAUGCCUGUUCGAGCGUCAUUUCAACCCUCAAGCCUGGCUUGGUGUUGGAGCACAGCCUGUAAAAAGGGCUGGCUCUGAAAUUCAGUGGCGGGCUCGCUAAGACUCCGAGCGUAGUAAUUAUUCUCUCGCUUUGGUUGGACUAGCGGUGCUCUUGCCGUAAAACCCCCCAAUAUCUUAAUGGUUGACCUCGGAUCAGGUAGGAAUACCCGCUGAACUUAAGCAUAUCAAUAAGCGGAGGAA